AUUGAACGCUGGCGGCAGGCCUAACACAUGCAAGUCGAACGAGAGGAGGACGGGUGAGUAAUGUCUGGGAAACUGCCUGAUGGAGGGGGAAAACUACUGGAAAAGGUAGCUAAUACCGCAUACCAUCAGAUGUGCCCAGAUGGGAGUAGCUAGUUGGGGGGGUAACGGCUAACCAAGGCGACGAUCCCUAGCUGGUCUGAGAGGAUGACCGGCCACACUGGAACUGAGACACGGUCCAGACUCCUACGGGAGGCAGCAUUGGGGAAUAUUGCACAAUGGGCGCAAGCCUGAUUCAGCCAUGCCGCGUGUAUGAAGAAGGCCUUCGGGUUGUAAAGUACUUUCACCGGAGAGGCGUUACCCGCAGAGGAAGCCCCGGCUAACUCCGUGCCAGCAGCCGCGGUAAUAC
rnacentral:rRNA from 1 species